CAGGAAAGAGAUCUUCGUGUAAACAGAGUCCCCCUGAUUGGCUGACGCGAAGAGUCAUUCUGAGAUCAGUAGUUUUCAACAGCAGUGGUGUCGUGCUCAGGGGAUAUCUGGCAAUGUCCGAAGACCUUUGACUGAGGUCAAGAGGAACAGCAUCGAUUGCUAAUAUGCUGUCUGCUUUCAACCCCCAAAGGAUUAUUUUCAGAAUGAAAUGAUCUGUGGUCUUUAAGUGGUGGGGAUGGGAGGAGCUGAAGAAUUCUUGAUCCUUCGAAGAGGUCCCAGUGGACUUGAUUUCUCAGUGGAAACAAAGGGAUUUCCUUCCUCAGUGGGAAAGAGACACCAAGUGAUAAACCGAGCACCCUCUUUGAAGAUUUCCCUGUAUAUUUGUCCCUAGAGGAGUGCGCCUCCGGGAGAUUUAUUGUUGGAAGCUUUUAGCCUCAAGCAUAAUUUUUAAAAGUAUGUAUUUCCCUAGAAACAGAGUAGCUCCAUUUAAAAGUCACAGGUGCCCCCAAGCUCUGCUCGGAAGAUUACCUCAAGUUUCAUUUCAUACCCGUCUCAGACCUGGAGGCAAAUUACUUAGUUCAUCACUCUGAAAAUGGAUUUUUUUCCCUUCUACUUCCCGUUUCCGUACCUGCCAUCUUGUGGAAAGGGACGUGCUUCCCAAGAGAUGAGAAAUGGACAGGAGUGAAGCCUGAGUCCAAGCACUGUGAUUUUUUAUCUCCCACGAAUGUGCAGGAAUAUUUAGUCAGGGAGAUCAUCUUCCUGGAGAAAUUUGUCCAUCCUACUCCUGGAGUGCUGUGUUAGUUGUAGUUGCUCCGGUGCCAGCUCGAAGACCAGGGUCAGAGUACAGUCGCCUAUGUGGGAGGUUAAGCCACAAAACACUGGCAGAAGAAGGGGAAAAUAAGACAAGGAUGCGAAGGCAAUCAGGAAAGGGCAUGUCAUGAAGCAAGGCACUGUUCUGGGCAAUUGGAGCUUACACCUGCUGGGGAAGCCUGAGAUAGUGGGGAACAUGUGCCUCACAGUGACGCUCGUGAGGGCCGGGGGAACUGGGGUAUUAAUACACCAAUUCCAUCUGUUAUUGAUUGAGGGCUGCUUACUGGUGGUAUUGAGUCCCUGGCACUUCAGGUCAGAGAAAGCCCUCGAUCAUAGAGAACAUCAAGCCAUGGGACCUGGAGUGCCAAGGGCUGAGUGGAUGUGGGCAAUGGCCAAUGACAAUAGCUACCAUCUGUGGAUUGAAUCUUCGGCAUCUCAUUUCUUCUAAGUCUCCUUAAUCUCUGUGCUUGGUGCUGAGGUGAAGCAAACAAUAAAGAUCCAGUGUUGUCCUUAGGAUGCUCACACUUCAGUGAGUGAGUCGAGGAAGCUAAACAGGUACAUAUCUGGGUACUGGAGAUGCAGCAGAAAAUAAGACAAGCAAAACUUCCAGAUCUCCUGGAGCUUGUAGUCUAACAGGUGAGGCAGACAAUAAACCAGAUGCUUGGCUAAAAUGUGUGUAUUUGAGAUAAUAAUAUGUUAAAGAACAAAAUGAAGGAGGGUGGCGAGUGGGGAAUUUCUCUGACUAGGAUAAGAAGAGGGUUGUAACUUCAGAUAGGUUGGCUAGGGAGGGCUGGGUUGAGACAAGUCUUCCGAGGGAAGAUUGUAAAGAAGUGAGGGAACAAGUUCUGAGGUUGCCUGAGAGAGGCAACUUCCAAGUUCUUGGAAGAGCACCUGUUAGUGCUCCAAGAAGGAGCCACGGCUCAUGUCUUGGGAACAUUGUGUUCCUGGUUGGUGUGCCUGGAGUAAGUGAAGGGGCAAUGGGAGGAAGGGGGAUCCCAGUGACGCAGGUCUCGUUGGUCAUUGUGGGGAUGUUGGCUUUUAUGGCAAGUGACGUAGAGGCCAGUGGAUGAUUGUGAGUAGAGGGGUGCCUUGACGUGAGUUGCAUUCCAACAGGAUUAUUUUGGCUGCUGUGAGGAUAACAUGAUGUGGAUCAGGCAAGUAAGGAGUCCAGUGUCAUAAUACAUAGGAGCAACAUUGGUGGCUUAGAUAAGGGAGAUAGAAAUGGACAGGGUUGUUUCCCGACACAAUACUGUUCUUUUGUCUGCUUACUCUUGUUUCUCCAUUUCUAGCAAUAGUUACGAAUUCAUAAUUCCUGUUGACAUUUCCUGCACUUUCAUGAGUUUCUUGAGCCCUGUCUGUUUCCCCAGUUUCAUUAUUAUCAAACAGCUCAGCUGUGAUAGACUGCUGAUCUUCAUCUUCAUAUUGAUUAAUUUCAUUUUCACAUGCAUCACCCGCGUUUUCCACGUCUUCUGCACAGUUUUCAGAUGAUGAGUCAUUUGCGAACGACAGAUUUUCAUUAUAGGAGUCAUCUUUGGAGCAGGAUGUGUUGGACUAGACUCAGGGAAUGCAAAUUGAAAUACUUCUCAAGAUUCAUCAGCCAAAGUAACUGGGUGAAUCGGGCAUAUGUAAGAAAACAGGGACUGGAGGGUACUGUCUUGCUGAACUCUACAGGGAUAAGCCAAGGUCAGUGCCAUUUGGUAGUUAUCCUGCCUAAAUGUGGUUUCAGUAUUAACAGAUUUCCUUAAAAGAAGUCAGAAAUCUAUAUUAUUAUGGGCACUCUGAUAUUUAAUUGUUUUUUUCAUGUUUAGAGCAACAAAAUAGAUCUUUGACCCAGAUCCAAUUCAAAUUGUCUGGUUUGUAACUCCUGAUUCACAAAGAUACCUUUGCACUUUCUGUAUUUAUGAUGCUUCUUUUAUCUGCUUUCAGUGAGAACAACCACAUGGGACUCUGUAUAGUUCAAGCUUACUAUAACUGACAGUAAAGAAUCUUACUUAGGAAAAGUAAUAAAAUACUUUUUCCUUCUUCUAUAACAAAAUGCCAUAGACCA